rnacentral:rRNA from 1 species
GAUGAACGCUGGCGGCGUGCCUAAUACAUGCGAGUCGAGCGAACGGACGAGAAGCUUGCUUCUCUGAUGUUAGCGGCGGACGGGUGAGUAACACGUGGAUAACCUACCUAUAAGACUGGGAUAACUUCGGGAAACCGGAGCUAAUACCGGAUAAUAUUUUGAACCGCAUGGUUCAAAAGUGAAAGACGGUCUUGCUGUCACUUAUAGAUGGAUCCGCGCUGCAUUAGCUAGUUGGUAAGGUAACGGCUUACCAAGGCAACGAUGCAUAGCCGACCUGAGAGGGUGAUCGGCCACACUGGAACUGAGACACGGUCCAGACUCCUACGGGAGGCAGCAGUAGGGAAUCUUCCGCAAUGGGCGAAAGCCUGACGGAGCAACGCCGCGUGAGUGAUGAAGGUCUUCGGAUCGUAGAACUCUGUUAUUAGGGAAGAACAUAUGUGUAAGUAACUGUGCACAUCUUGACGGUACCUAAUCAGAAAGCCACGGCUAACUACGUG